rnacentral:lncRNA from 1 species
UUGCUUUCCAGCUGUUCUCCCCUCCACCUGGAGAGAGGCCUUCUAGGUGCCACUCAGGGAGAGGCUGCCCGUCCUUGGCUGUCCCUGUAAGAAAGGAGCCCUGGGAUGGCUGCCCAGGAGUUGUGCACACAGGGGCGAGAGUCAGGGAAAUGCUCUCACAAAGUGACUUCACUCAGGCUACGCUCAAAGCCCUUCUUGUAAGGGAGAACGGCUCAUGGCUCAUUUCCCUUCUCUGUAAACCCACCUAUAUCUGAAGAUCAGACAUAUCCACGCACAGCCACACAAUGCCAAGCUGCUGGUGGAGCUCAUAUUCUCAGCAAGUCCUCAACCAUACCAGAGCUUUAUUUAUUUAUUUAUUUAUUUGUUUGUUUGUUUGUUUUGCCAGGCCCAUCAAUCAAUCAUGAGGAUCAAAAUCUGAAGAAAUACAAUUCGUUCUCCAACAUGUUUUUGGAAAUGCCACAAAUGUCCUGUGAUGGAGAGCAUCUACAGUCUUCGGAUGGAGUUAAUUGAUGCCCCGGUUACCUGGCAUUGAUUUUAGCAAUGGUGCUGGCCUCUGCGCGCUCUCCCCACCACUACCAGAUGCCACCGAAACAGGAUUCCGGAAAACUUCAGUGCAGUCUGGUCCUGACAGCCUCUGGUGAUAGCCUCUGCUCUGCAGCAAGGAGCUUCCUCCUAGUGAGCCCAGCUCCUCACUCGCUUCUUGUCCCUGCUUCCUGUUUGCCGCCCACGCCAAACUGGGGCUUCUCUUAGCACUUUUUUCCGCCUAACUCCAAGUCCCCAGAAGAGAAACUUUAGACUUCCUUCCUUGCCCCCUGAGAACCCUCUGCGGCUAGCUGGUGUCAGCGGGACCCUAGUUCUACCGUGAGCUCUGGCGCGGUUUCAGGCUUCCAGAAUUCAAAGAACACACUUCAUCUCUCAGUUUUUCUACUUCCAGCCCCUCUCCGCCUCCUCACAGGGAACCAGCCAGCUUCCCAUGAGAACUCCUUCCUCAGCCUCUCAUAAACAGGCUGAGCACACCCCAUGCUGCUGCGGAGAAAUGACCUCUGCGUGUCAAGCCUCUGGCUCCCGGAGCUUUCUUACCCUUCACUGCUCCAGAGAUGUCUGUAUGGUCGCCAGUCCCCUCUAAACAUUUAAAAAGUGGGGCGCGGGACGGCUCAGAGAGGCUACACUCUUGCUGUGCGACCAUGAGAACUGGAGUUGGGAUCCCCAGUGGUCAUGGAAACGUUUGAGGGGUGUGGAGGCUGGCCUAAUUCCAGCUUCAGAAGGCAGGGACAGGGAUUCCCUAGGGAGAGACCCCGCCUCACUGACUAAAGAGGAAGAGCCGAGGGUGAGGGCUCCCCACACUAGCCUUAAGCUUCC